rnacentral:rRNA from 1 species
AUUGAACGCUGGCGGAAUGCUUUACACAUGCAAGUCGAGCGGCAGCGCGGGGCAACCUGGCGGCGAGCGGCGAACGGGUGAGUAAUACAUCGGAACGUGCCCAGACGUGGGGGAUAACUACUCGAAAGAGUGGCUAAUACCGCAUACGAUCUAAGGAUGAAAGCGGGGAUCGCAAGACCUCGCGCGUUUGGAGCGGCCGAUGGCAGAUUAGGUAGUUGGUGGGGUAAAGGCUUACCAAGCCCGCGAUCUGUAGCUGGUCUGAGAGGAUGAUCAGCCACACUGGGACUGAGACACGGCCCAGACUCCUACGGGAGGCAGCAGUGGGGAAUUUUGGACAAUGGGCGAAAGCCUGAUCCAGCCAUUCCGCGUGCAGGAUGAAGGCCCUCGGGUUGUAAACUGCUUUUGUACAGAACGAAAAGACUCUUUCUAAUACAGAGAGUCCAUGACGGUACUGUAAGAAUAAGACACCGGCUAACUACGUGCCAGCAGCCGCGGUAA